rnacentral:lncRNA from 1 species
AUUUUCCAGAAUUCACCAUAUAGCUGAUGUCUAGAUCUUGCAAACUUUUUUUCCACCUCUUCUAAAAUGUUCUCUGAACUUGGGGCUAGCGAAGGUGUUACAUCAUUGCUCUUUUAGGGCUAAGCAGUCCAUAGUCACUUAAGCUGUGCACCUUGACCAGUUGGUUGUGGCUCUAUGUGUCAAGACCUCCCGCUGCAGUUGUAAGGUUCUGUGACCUGAUCAAGGGUUAAAGAGGAUUCCAUAACCCACACUAUAAUAGAAGAUCUGGCAUCCUAGCAAAUGAGGCCCGGUGGGCCUGCAAGAAUUGUAGCCUCUCUGGGGGCCCACUCUUGACUCCAUCCUUACGUACACGACCCUGGACCAAGCCUGGAAUCUCCACAGCCUCAUUAUCACUCUCAGCCUUGGUUUUGAUAUCGAGAAAUCAUGGGAAGCAAAGGAGACAACCUCAUGGCGUGAUUUCGAGGCUAAACCGAUCCAAAUCCAGGCCUUCACAUGUUUUUGGACAAAGUUCUUUGUGAAGGUUAUUUUCGUCAUGAGAGUGAUUAAUGUCAUGUGUUGGCCACGGAGAGACUAGUGUACCCCUGUGGGAAGAACUUGGCAGAGAAGUGGAGCAGAGCCCGAGUUAAUUUUAGAAAUCUUCAAUGUUGCAGGGGGCGACAAGGGAAACUCAGUUCUGCCAAGGAUGAACUAACUACCUGAGAACAUUAAGCCCCCAAAGGACAGCUUUUGCAUCUGGUCUCUCUCCUUCCCUGCUCCUUGUUCAUCAAGGAACAGGAAGCUUGCCUUUUAGCAUGUCUGCCCAUCUGCAUGCUCACUGUUCUGCCUUCCUCUGUUGAGGAUGAUGAAACAGAUCGGCUCCUUCAUUGACAGAGAAAAUGGAUGAAUUACUGCAGUACUGUGAUGGUUUGUAUAUGCUUGGCCCAGGGAGUGGCACUGUAGGAAAUGUGGCUUUGUUGGAGUAGAUGAGUCACUGCAGGUGUGGGUUUAAGACCCUCAUCCUAGCUGCCUGGAAGUCAGUCUUCCACUAGCAGCCUUCAGAUGAAGAUGUAGAACUCUCAGCUCUCCCUGAACCAUGCCUAUCUAGAUGCUGCCAUGUUCCUGCCAUGAUGAUAAUAGACUGAACCUCUGAACUUGUAAGCCAGCUCCAAUUAAAUGCUUUUUUUAUAAGACUUACCUUGGUCAUAGUUUCUUUUCACAGCAGUAAAACCCUAGCUAAGACAAGUAUGCUAGUAUGAUUUCUGUUGCUGUGAAAAAACACUCUGACCAAAAUUAGCAUAGUAGAGAACUUUUUGGCUUAUAUAACCAGGUCACAGCCCAUCAGCAAAGGAAGUCAGGAUAGGCACUCCAGCUGGAACUUGAAUCAGAAACAAUGGAGGGGCACUGCUUGAUAAUUUAUUUGCAGACUCAUGAACACCAGCAUUCGUACAAUAGGUCAAGACUACCUGCCUAGGGAAUGGUACUGCCCACAAUGUAUCAAGUAACAAUCAAAACAACCCUUCAUAGACAUGCACAGGGGCCAAUCUGAUUUGGGUGGUUUCCCACUUGAAAUUGUCUUUUCAGACAACUCUAGAUUCUGGCAAGUUGGUAACCAAAGGUAACUAUGACCUGUAGUGAUAAAUCAGAUUGAACAAUGAAACAUUAUUUGAGAGCCAAUCAAUAACAUAUAAGGAUAUAACAAAGACAAAUAGCUGACAUUAGAGAGAGAUUUUAAAAAAGGGGAGAAUAAAUAGAAAAAAAUUAAGUAGCUUUGGAAAGAGUUGAAUGGCAGUUUCAACCAAAAUAAAGACAGAUUUCAAUGACCAAAGAUCAAAGAGUAAAAAAUAAAUUUAGGAAAUCAAUACAAUGGUUGUCUGAUUACCAAUUGCUGUAAGUGAAAGACAAGGUUUCUGUAGUAUAGUGGACAUAAAAGAGAAUAUAUUGGUGAGACAUAAAGUAAUGGGGAAAAUUUUCUAGAGUGUAUAGCAAAAAAGAUUAGCAGAUCAUUUGAAAAGAAAUAUGCAGCAUGAAAUUGGUGACAAUAUGGCAACCCCAGAAUAAAAAUAAAAUUCUAGGUUAUUUUAGCUAAACUUCAAGAGGAGGAACAGUAGUGACUUGUAGGCUGGCAACACUCUACUCUUUAAGAAAAUAGGAACAAGAUACUGAAUUUUUAAAAAUUUGAAAUAUUCACGAUUAAAAUGUUGAAUGUUCUAGGUAUAUGAAAUAGAAAGUGGAGUCGGGCGUGGUGGCGCACGCCUUUAAUCCCAGCACUUGGGAGGCAGAGGCAGGUGGAUUCUGAGUUCGAGGCCAGCCUGGUCUACAGAGUGAGUUCCAGGACAGCCAGGGCUACACAGAGAAACCCUGUCUUGAAAAACAAACAAACAAAAAAUAAAUAAAUAAAUAAAUAAAUAAAAGAAAGAAAGAAAUAGAAAGUGGAAUCCCAACCUUCCUAAUAAUAUGACCCUUAAUACUGUUUCUCAUGUUGUGGUGACCCCCCCAACCAUAAAAUUAUUUUCAUUGCUACUUCAUAAUUAUAAAUUAUAAAAUGAAUAUCUAUGUUUUCCAGUGGUCUGAGGUGUCCUACCUUUAUGAAAGGGUUGUACAAUGCUUAGAGGGGGUCAUGAUCCACAAGUUGAGAACCACUGGUUUAAGUCAUUUGAGUUAACAACCAGAACCUCAGAGAAGAGGAAGAGCAAACUAGAGGGUAAGAAAGUCUUCUGCUAUCUGACUUCUGUUUUGACAACUUAGCAUUCACAGGGCCUUAAACAGGAGACUGAACCUCACGAUGUCUUGUUCUCUUCCCUGGCAAUAUGGAUCCUAAGGUUGUUGUUAAUAUUGAGAUUCAAAACCUGUGACAGGUUUGGUGCACUCUAAAGUAUUCAUGUAUGUCAGCUCUUAAACAAACUGUUUACCAA